GUAGGUGAACCUGCGGAAGGAUCAUUACACUCAGUAGAUUUCUACUGUAUAGAGGGAGAGGAAAGCUUUUAACUACCUAUGCACACUGUGUAUGGGCUGUUUCUGCGCGAGUACUUUUUCUUUCUAAACCCUUGUCUUUUUGCGUACUCAUGUUUCCUCGGUAGGCUUGCCUGCCGGCUGGACAACUUUAUAACCUUUUUAAUUCUCAAUCAGCGUCUGAAUAACUAUAAUAAUUACAACUUUCAACAACGGAUCUCUUGGUUCUG
rnacentral:misc_RNA from 1 species